UACAGAGGUCUCAAGCGUUGUUCGGAUUCAUUGGGCGUAAAGGGUGCGUAGGUGGCGUCGUAAGUCAGGUGUGAAAUUUCGGAGCUUAACUCCGAAACUGCAUUCGAUACUGCGGUGCUUGAGGACUGGAGAGGAGACUGGAAUUCAUGGUGUAGCAGUGAAAUGCGUAGAGAUCAUGAGGAAGACCAGUGGCGAAGGCGGGUCUCUGGACAGUUCCUGACACUGAGACACGAAGGCCAGGGGAGCAAACGGG
rnacentral:rRNA from 1 species